CUCUACCUGCUAACUGCUGGUGUAGUUUGUCACUGUUAAAUGCCGACCAUUCUACAUUCCAUGCUAAUUCACAGCUGUGUUUAUACUCUGUGUUUACGACACGCCAAGCGCUAAUGCUACCACUGCGUUAGCUGAACUUUACAGAGCCUAAAAUGUGUGUGCACUAAAUGUAGCCGGUUUCGUU